rnacentral:rRNA from 1 species
ACUUUCUCGAAAGAGAAAAGUGCCGCAAGGAACUCAGUGACAGGUGGUGCACGGUCGUCGUCAGCUCGUGCCUUGAGGUGUACUGUUAAGUCAGCAAACGAGCGCAACCUUCGUCCCAUGUUGUUAUCUCAUGGGAGACUGCCGCCUCCAAGGCGGAGGAAGGUGGGGAUGACGUCAGAUCUGCGUGUCCCUUAUGUCUAGGGCAACACCCGUGCUACAAUGGCCGGUACAAAGGGCAGCGAACCCGUAAGGGGGAGCAAAUCCCACAAAGCUGGUCUCAGUUCGGAUUGAAGUCUGCAACUCGACUUUAUGAAGUUGGAAUCGCUAGUAAUCGCGUAUCAGAAUGACGCGGUGAAUACGUUCCCGGGCCUUGUACACACCGCCCGUCACACCAUGGGAGUGGGUUGCUCCAGAAGUGGAUAGUCUAACCUUCGGGAGGGCGCUUACCACUUUGUGAUUCAUGACUGGGGUGAAGUCGUAACAA